rnacentral:rRNA from 1 species
GAUGAACGCUAGCGGCAGGCUUAACACAUGCAAGUCGAGGGGCAGCACGGGUAGCAAUACUUGGUGGCGACCGGCGCAAGGGUGCGUAACGCGUGAGCAACAUGCCCGUAUCAGGGGAAUAAUCCAGGGAAACUUGGUCUAAUACCCCAUAGCAAUCGGAGGAGGCAUCUUUUUCGAUUUAAAGCUUUGGUGGAUACGGAUUGGCUCGCGUGACAUUAGCUAGAUGGUAAGGUAACGGCUUACCAUGGCUACGAUGUCUAGGGGUUCUGAGAGGAAGAUCCCCCACACUGGAACUGAGACACGGUCCAGACUCCUACGGGAGGCAG